AGGAGAAGGAAGGGAAGGGCCGCCAAGGAGGGAUGAAAUCGGUGGCGGCGGCUGGACCUUUUUUAAGAUGUGAGAGAUUUGGGAAUGGGGCUGCUUCAUAAGUGUGUGGAAGAAACCUGCUGAGGAUCACAGAGGAAGAAAAGAAGUCGGUGGAACAGUUCUAAGUUUUUCUAGUCAAAUUUCUCAAAAUAUAAGAGAGUUAAAAACUGGCAUCAUGGCUAGAAUUGUAGAUUCUUAUCUAAGUGCACUUUAAUAUUUGAAAUGUCAAUCAUUGCACUUGAACGUUAAACUGUAUCUGUAUUUAUAACAUUUAUAUGAAUGGGAUAGCAUGAUGUUUAAUAUGGCAAUUGAUACUUAUUACUUUAAAGUAUAGUAAAAUAAUACAACUGAAUUAAAGGAAGCAUUUUUCCUAAAGAAGAUAU